rnacentral:tRNA from 1 species
GGGCCCGUAGCUCAAGGGCAGAGCGACCGGCUCAUAACCGGUUGGUUGGAGGUUCGAAUCCUCCCGGGCCCACCA